UACGUAGGUGGCAAGCGUUGUCCGGAUUUACUGGGUGUAAAGGGCGUGCAGCCGGGCUGACAAGUCAGAUGUGAAAUCCCGCGGCUCAACCGCGGAACUGCAUUUGAAACUGUCAGUCUUGAGUACCGGAGAGGUCAUCGGAAUUCCUUGUGUAGCGGUGAAAUGCGUAGAUAUAAGGGAGAACACCAGUGGCGAAGGCGGAUGACUGGACGGCAACUGACGGUGAGGCGCGAAAGCGUGGGGAGCAAACAGG
rnacentral:rRNA from 1 species